CUCUUUCAAGGAAAUGCAACUGUGUGCUCAUGCAGUUCUCUACUAGUGAAAUCAGUGAAAAUGCCAGCCCUAUCAAAUUAUUUACACGUGUAGAUGUUGGUCAUUUAGAUACAAAUAAAAAAAUGUAUUUCAGUAUAAUAUAAUGUCUGCCCUAAGAUUAAAUGACAAAUAUGAAGAAUAGGUAAGGUAAAAAUAAAUUUACAUUUAGUCAAUGGAUUGAUUCCUAAAUUACAUUGCAAUCCCUAGGCUCCCUACCAUUAUGUGCCUACUGUCAAACCUAUACUUGUUUAUCUCAACCUUGUCUUUCUACACACUUCAAUAAAAGGAAUACUGACUGCAAGUCAACUCAUUGCAACACGUGGAUCACAACUAUUCUUGCCUCUUACAUCUACUUUGAGAAGUUGGGGAAGAAUUACCACUUCUUCUUAUUGCUUUAGCAAGCAUAGCUACUGAUUUAAAUGUCAAUACUGUUACUCCAAAGAGAAAGGUUGACAGAGGUGGGUGAAGGAGGAGGCACAUCAAUCCUACUUCAUUGACCACCACUGAUCUUUUUCAUGCCACUGGCAUCAAAUGUAUCCAAGCCUUCUGUCACACCAGUUA
rnacentral:lncRNA from 1 species